AAGACCUUGCGCUUUUGGAGCGGCCGGUGUCUGAUUAGCUUGUUGGUGAGGUAAAAGCUUACCAAGGCUUCGAUCAGUAGCUGGUCUGAGAGGACGGCCAGCCACACUGGGACUGAGACACGGCCCAGACUCCUACGGGAGGCAGCAGUGGGGAAUUUUGGACAAUGGGGGCAACCCUGAUCCAGCCAUGCCGCGUGAGUGAAGAAGGCCUUCGGGUUGUAAAGCUCUUUCAGCCGGAACGAAACGGUUACGGUUAAUACCCGUGACUACUGUCGGUACCGGAAGAAGAAGCACCGGCUAACUACGUGCCAGCAGCCGCGGUAAUACGUAGGGUGCAAGCGUUAAUCGGAAUUACUGGGCGUAAAGCGUGCGCAGGUGGUUUUGUAAGUCAGAUGUGAAAUCCCCGGGCUCAACCUGGGAACU
rnacentral:rRNA from 1 species